rnacentral:tRNA from 1 species
GAUUAAAUGGCUGAAAAUAGGCAGUAGACUGUAAAUCUAUUUAUAAGAAAUUUUUCUUUUUAAUCA